GAUGGGAGCUUGCUCCCUGAGAUCAGCGGCGGACGGGUGAGUAACACGUGGGUAACCUGCCUGUAAGACUGGGAUAACUCCGGGAAACCGGGGCUAAUACCGGAUAACACCUACCCCCGCAUGGGGGAAGGUUGAAAGGUGGCUUCGGCUAUCACUUACAGAUGGACCCGCGGCGCAUUAGCUAGUUGGUGAGGUAAUGGCUCACCAAGGCGACGAUGCGUAGCCGACCUGAGAGGGUGAUCGGCCACACUGGGACUGAGACACGGCCCAGACUCCUACGGGAGGCAGCAGUAGGGAAUCUUCCGCAAUGGACGAAAGUCUGACGGAGCAACGCCGCGUGAGUGAAGAAGGUUUUCGGAUCGUAAAACUCUGUUGUUAGGGAAGAACAAGUGCCGUUCGAAUAGGGCGGCGCCUUGACGGUACCUAACCAGAAAGCCACGGCUAACUACGUGCCAGCAGCCGCGGUAAUACGUAGGUGGCAAGCGUUGUCCGGAAUUAUUGGGCGUAAAGCGCGCGCAGGUGGUUUCUUAAGUCUGAUGUGAAAGCCCACGGCUCAACCGUGGGAGGGUCAUUGGAAACUGGGGAACUUGAGUGCAGAAGAGGAAAGUGGAAUUCCAAGUGUAGCGGUGAAAUGCGUAGAUAUUUGGGAGGAACACCAGUGGGCGAAAGGCGACUUUCUGGUCUGUAACUGACACUGAGGCGCGAAAGCGUGGGGAGCAAACAGGAUUAGAUACCC
rnacentral:rRNA from 1 species